UAACUAUUGCUAAAACAGUCAAGUUCAGAGCGGUUUUUGUUAUUGUUUGGUCAAAGAAAGGCGGAUGGGGUAGGCAAUGCAUUUCUGGGCUGGCACUAGGUAACAAUUUCACACUUAAAUAUACAAAAUUACCAAAGCCUACUUACUACCUGUGGUAAGUAAGUAAGUAAGAUCCAGCAAAUAGGUCCAAGAAAAAAAACAACCGCCCAACGACGCCUUUCCUGAACGGGACUUUGAGAAAGACGCCCACAAGGCUCAGGACCAAGCAAAGCCAAGGCCACCUCACCUGUCCAAAGGGUCCGCUCCAGACUCUUCACUCAGCGUUUGCCAGUCGAAGGAAGCUCCGCCCCUGCGUUCCGCUUAAAGCCAGUCCUCAUUGGCCGCUGGCCGCACCUCUACCUUCCCAUUGGCUGUACGUGCGUAAACAACGGCUGCUUACUUCAGAA